CGGGCGGCCGUGACCCUGCUGGAGUGCGGGGGGGACCUCCAGCCCCCCGGGGGGUCCCUGCGCCUCCUCUGCCGAGGGGCCGGGUUCAGUUUCGGCAGUUUCUCCAUGUUCUGGGUCCGCCAGAGGCCCGGGCAGGGGCUGGAAUACGUCGCGUUGAUCAGGAGCGAUGGUUCCAGCACCGACUACGCGCCGUCGGUCAAGGGCCGGUUCAGGAUCUCCAGGGACAACGGGCAGAGCUCGGUGACGCUGACCAUGAACAACCUCAAGGACGAGGAUUCCGGAUCCUAUUUCUGUGCCAAAUGUGUGGAUGGUGGCUGUGGUACCAGUGCUGCUGCUGUUGCUUAUGUUGCUGCUUUUGGUCAUGGUCCCAAGCCGCCAGAAUUUGUUUCUUAA